CUGACAGAGCCCUUACUGUCGUUUUAAGUUUAUCCCACACCCCCAUUUUUGGACACCCUCCUCACUCAUUUCAUCUACACAGCUCCUUAUCCAGGGCCAGGUUAUGGGGGCAGCAGCCUAAGCAGAGAUGCCCAGACCUCCCUGUCCCCAGCCACUUCAUCCAACUCAUCUCUUUAUGCACUGAAGCAUUCCCAAGCCAGCUGGGAAAUUCAUUCUCUCCAUCAUGUCCUGGAUCUACUUCAGAGCCCCCUCCUACUUUGGUGUGGAGUACCAGCUCUACUCUGAGUCCCUCCCAAAUUACUGAACUCCUCACCCCAUCACUGAGGGAGAGCCCAGUCACCAUUCAAAGAAAUUCAUUUUACCUGUUCAUAUCCGCGAUAGUAUUCUUCCUGUCACUACCCAGGCCGCCACUGAAUGAGGCUAACAGAACUACAUCAUCUGCAAAAAGCAGAGACAAGACCCUGAUACCACCAAAGUAGAGGCCAUUGAUUUGGUUUUAUGUAGAAAUUUAUGAUGAUGCCUGAAUUAGUGAUUGGUGAUGCAAGUCAUCACCAUGUAGUGACUGCUCAGCACCUCCCUUUACCUGCGCAUCCAAGACAUGUGACCACAGAUCUGAUAAAACAAUAACAAAAUCAAUCAUCAACCUGCCAUUUAGCGUAUUGUGAUCCCACGUACACUUAUGAGCACCGUUAUGCUUGAACACUGUGGUUGUUAUGGACAAGUCUUGAUUGGCACUUCAGCUGUCUCUUCCAUGGACUAAGGCCCUUGAGGUGGUCUCCCUCGACCUCCCUCCCCAGGCCUGGAGCAGUUUUUUUCAACCCCUGUGAUUGUGGCUCACGAGGUAGAGCAUGUUGUCUCUUAAUCAGGUUAGUGGUUAAAUUCCCUUGGCUCCUCCAAGCUGCAUGUUGAUGAAAUGAGUAGGCAUGAUACUUAGAAAGCCACGUAGAACAAAGCACUGUGUGAAUGUGUGAAUGCUGGCUCGCAGUAAAGAGCACUCAGAGUAGAAAAAUGCCAUUUUACUCGCCUGUUUUACUUUUCUUUCCUUUCCCCACAGAGCUUGUUCCCUUCUUAUAUUGGAUCAUUGUUGGGCUUUGGUAUGGAUUUACCUGCACAGACUUUAUAGUGAUCUUGUGUUCGGCUUUCUCCCCUACAAGUCUUUGUUCUUUCUAACUUUAAUUAAAGUUCUCCCUUUUUGCCCUAGUCCUGCAUAUGGCUCUUUAAUCUAAACUCUAACAUUUCUUAAGCGAACUUUCAUAAGGCUCUGUCUGUCUCGAUGUCAACUAAACUGUGCCCAGGGGAAGUUAUUAGCCAUAUAACUAAAAUAUUUCUGACCCUGCUUUUAUCAUCGUUCUUCACACUAAUGGAUACUGACCAAAAUCUUGGUCAUUUCUCUGACAUUCAGCUAUUUGCUGUAUAAAAAGUAAUGAGUAUCAUGAAUAAUCAAAGUUAUGCAUUAAUAAACUGAAAUUCAUAAAGGUCUUUUUACUGAGCUUUCUCGCUUGUGUUAUAUGGUUUAUCAGCUCAAAAACUGCUUUUUUUAACCAUAGCAAUACUUUGUACCAUGUAAUUUUUUUAAUUUAAUUAAUGUAAUUUGUAAUAGAGGACUGGAAAAAUCCCUCAAGACAGAAAAAGUGCAUACUUACAUUUACU